GCUGCCCAGUUAUCUAAUUAGUAAAGCUUCUUUUUCAUUUUUUCAGUUCGCUCUCCCAUUUUAAAAGAACAUCAGCAAAAAGACUAUGUAUCACCCAUGAGUUCUUGUUGCUACGUGUAUGGUGUGGUUACUUUUAAUGACAAAGCCAAGGAAAAGGAUUUAAGGCUGGAUGUCUUAGAUGAGAUACUUUCAUGAAGAACAUUCUUAUGGAAAAAAUAAAAAUAAGUUACGAUCAGCCCUUUCAGCCGCCAUAACAACAGGCAUGAAUUAGAAGAGCUUAGUGGUGCUAUGUCUUUCCCUAAUAUUUUAUAUAAAAUGUAUUGGUACUUUUUAUUAACUUGCUUGUAUUUUAUUUUCCUUAAAUAAAUUUAAUUUGUAUACGAAA